AUGGACGCUCCUCCUUUUACCUGCUGGGUGUCCUAUGUGAUAGAAGGGCUCGUGGAGGAGUUCAUGCUCUUGGCCAACAUGGCAGUGGCCCACAAGAUCCACCGCGCCUUCCCCGGGCAGGCCCUGCUGCGCCGGCACCCCCCACCCCAGACAAGGAUGCUCAGUGACCUGGUGGAAUUCUGCGACCAGAUGGGGCUGCCCGUGGACUUCAGCUCCGCAGGAGCCCUCAAUGACUGUGCCAAGCGGGGACCCCCAAGGCUGAGCUUCACCCGUGCAGGGCCUGAGCAUCCUGGGACCAGGACCCCAGAGGACCCUCGGGCCAGCGGGAGCAGUGGGUGCUGUACUGCGGAAGCUGCAGGGGGUCCACAGCCAGCCCUGGACACAGCCGAGAGGAGGACGCUGACCUCAGAGGGCCGCUUUCUGCUGCCCUGGGAGCUGGGCUAUAGAGAGCAACUAGACAUGGCGCCCGAUACCCUGCAGAAGCAGGCGGACCACUGCAACGACCGCCGCAUGGCGUCCAAGCGCGUGCAAGAGCUCUGCACUGGUCUCUUCUUUGCCGUUCUGGUCAAGGAGAGUGGCCCCCUGGAGUCAGAAGCCAUGGUGAUGGGCGUCCUGAACCAAGCUUUCAACGUGCUGGUGCUGCGCUACGGCGUGCAGAAGCGCAUCUACUGCAACGUCAUCAGCAUCAUCAGCCUGGUGGAGGUGGUCCUGUGGGCGGCUGUGACCCUCAAGUAUAGAGCUGUCCUGAAGCAGCCGAGCAACCAGGGCCACCUGGGCCCCGAGGAAGAGGAGGAGGAGAAGGUCGACCCCCUCAACCUGGCUCAUCAUCAGAGCAGACUGUUGAUUAGCUGCAGGCGAAUAUGAAGAGGCGAUUUCCUGUCACAGAAAGGUCGUGGUGUGUCUUUCUGAAGCUACGGAGCUGAGCAGGCUGACCUUCCGCUGGAACUACAAAGGUACAGCCACGUGAAACCGCGCCGCCUUGCCCAGGAGACGCGGACAAGGGCCCAGUAGAACGCAGACAAGGAUGGGGCUGCCCAUCUUCAGGCCUCUCACAGCCCCUCUGCGGAAGACGCAGAAGCACAGCCCUCCACAGAGGAACGCCCGCCCAAGACUCAGGGCGUCUGUGACAGGGAUCCAGACACACGACUGUUUUUACUUCGGCAAAAGACUGAGCCAGCAGAGCCGUGUAUUGGAAGCAAAGCCCCAAAACACGAUGAACACCUGUAGAGGAGCAGGCAACCCAGUUGCAGAUUUGAAGAGGCAUGUGGAAUCCCUUGUGGCAGAGAAGGAAAGAUUAAGGAAAGAAAGUGUAAACAGGUAAAGGCUGAAAAGCCAGACUUCUAAAAGGUCCAGUAGAAAAGGAGCUGAAUGUGGGUGCUGAUUUUGUAGAAAAGUCAGUAACGGAGCGUGCCUCUGCAUUCGGAAACUGCUACACCCUCUUCAACCUUGCAGAGGUUUGCAGCAGAUGCCAGGAAAGUCAAGUACGUUCCAGUACCCGAUCUUCUCCCUCGGAUUUUCCAUCUCCAGAGCGUCCCCUUACCGAGCUCUCUCAGGAUAUUCUGAAAGGAUUUAUGAGUAAUUAAAAUGGAAGGCCAUAGAAGAAGGGAGAAGAGGAAAUAAUACUAAUACGGUUAAUGCAGCAACAAAGAAUGAAAAGGGAAAGCCACAGGCGAGGGUAAUCCUGGAAAUGCCUCAUCAUCUGGCGUACUGUGGGAGAAGAGGCAUUGCCAGGAAGUGGGGAACAGUCACUGUGAAGCAUGUUGCAUAUCUGAUUCACUGACUUGAGCUAAUGAUGCUGACCUGGCAGGCACUAAACUCAUAGAGGGUCAGUUUCUUCCGAUAUCAACCAAAUGGCUUCCUGGAAGAUUUUUUUCAAGCAACAAAUUAUUUUUCUUAUCUUCAGGGUUAAGAUGUUUGAAAGUAUGUUAUGUGUAGUUAAUCUAUAAUGCCGUAAAUGAUCAUGCAAAACCUAAAUAUUAAAAUGACGGCCUGAGGGGCUGCUUCAUAUUUGAAACAUACUUUGUCUCAGGCAUUGAUGUAUGCAUUUUGUUAAUGAUGUUGUGUUUAAGGUGUGUAAGACACUCCUUUCUAGAUGAAACCAUAUGUGCCACACUGUGCACUACUCAUAACAAUGAUAACCUCAAGACUUAUCAGGAGAAAUGUUUAAAGUUCCGUGUUAUAAAGAAACCAAAUUAUUAGUUAUGCUUCUUAACACCAAUUACCAGUUUACAUAAUUAAUAAGGGUGCAUUUUAAGUUCUAACUCUGUUUAUUGCAUAAUGCAUCAUUUGAAAAUACCAAGGAAGUCUGUUCUUUGUUUUUAAUGAUCCGUGAAUGGAAGGAAUGCUAGUUGGCAGUAUUCGAUUGUAAGAAAUCAAUAAAGUAAUUGUAUUU